GGAUUAGAUACCCUGGUAGUCCUAGCUGUAAACGAUGGAUACUAGGCGUAGCUUGUAUCGACCCGAGCUGUGCCGAAGCUAACGCGUUAAGUAUCCCGCCUGGGGAGUACGCACGCAAGUGUGAAACUCAAAGGAAUUGACGGGGGCCCGCACAAGCGGUGGAGUAUGUGGUUUAAUUCGAUGCAACGCGAAGAACCUUACCAGGGCUUGACAUGUCGCGAAUCUGGGGGAAACCUCGGAGUGCCUUCGGGAACGCGAACACAGGUGGUGCAUGGCUGUCGUCAGCUCGUGCUG
rnacentral:rRNA from 1 species